GGGCGAGUGGUGGAAUUGGCAGACACGCAAGACUUAGGAUCUUGUGGCGCAAGCCGUGCGGGUUCAAGUCCCGCCCCGCCCACCA
rnacentral:tRNA from 1 species